rnacentral:rRNA from 1 species
GCUCAGAUUGAACGCUGGCGGCAGGCCUAACACAUGCAAGUCGAACGGUAACAGGAAACAGCUUGCUGUUUCGCUGACGAGUGGCGGACGGGUGAGUAAUGUCUGGGAAGCUGCCUGAUGGAGGGGGAUAACUACUGGAAACGGUAGCUAAUACCGCAUAACGUCGCAAGACCAAAGAGGGGGACCUUCGGGCCUCUUGCCAUCAGAUGUGCCCAGAUGGGAUUAGCUAGUAGGUGGGGUAACGGCUCACCUAGGCGACGAUCCCUAGCUGGUCUGAGAGGAUGACCAGCCACACUGGAACUGAGACACGGUCCAGACCCCUACGGGAGGCAGCAGUGGGGAAUAUUGCACAAUGGGCGCAAGCCUGAUGCAGCCAUGCCGCGUGUAUGAAGAAGGCCUUCGGGUUGUAAAGUACUUUCAGCGGGGAGGAAGGGAGUAAAGUUAAUACCUUUGCUCAUUGACGUUACCCGCAGAAGAAGCACCGGCUAACUCCGUGCCAGCAGCCGCGGUAAUACGGAGGGUGCAAGCGUUAAUCGGAAUUACUGGGCGUAAAGCGCACGCAGGCGGUUUGUUAAGUCAGAUGUGAAAUCCCCGGGCUCAACCUGGGAACUGCAUCUGAUACUGGCAAGCUUGAGUCUCGUAGAGGGGGGUAGAAUUCCAGGUGUAGCGGUGAAAUGCGUAGAGAUCUGGAGGAAUACCGGUGGCGAAGGCGGCCCCCUGGACGAAGACUGACGCUCAGGUGCGAAAGCGUGGGGAGCAAACAGGAUUAGAUACCCUGGUAGUCCACGCCGUAAACGAUGUCGACUUGGAGGUUGUGCCCUUGAGGCGUGGCUUCCGGAGCUAACGCGUUAAGUCGACCGCCUGGGGAGAACGGCCGCAAGGUUAAAACUCAAAUGAAUUGACGGGGGCCCGCACAAGCGGUGGAGCAUGUUUAAUUCGAUGCAACGCGAAGAACCUUACCUGGUCUUGACAUCCACGGAAGUUUUCAGAGAUGAGAAUGUGCCUUCGGGAACCGUGAGACAGGUGCUGCAUGGCUGUCGUCAGCUCGUGUUGUGAAAUGUUGGGUUAAGUCCCGCAACGAGUGCAACCCUUAUCCUUUGUUGCCAGCGGUCCGGCCGGGAACUCAAAGGAGACUGCCAGUGAUAAACUGGAGGAAGGUGGGGAUGACGUCAAGUCAUCAUGGCCCUUACGACCAGGGCUACACACGUGCUACAAUGGCGCAUACAAAGAGAAGCGACCUCGCGAGAGCAAGCGGACCUCAUAAAGUGCGUCGUAGUCCGGAUUGGAGUCUGCAACUCGACUCCAUGAAGUCGGAAUCGCUAGUAAUCGUGGAUCAGAAUGCCACGGUGAAUACGUUCCCGGGCCUUGUACACACCGCCCGUCACACCAUGGGAGUGGGUUGCAAAAGAAGUAGGUAGCUUAACCUUCGGGAGGGCGCUUACCACUUUGUGAUUCAUGACUGGGGUGAAGUCGUAACAAGGUAA